UGUGCCAAAGUUGAAGUUUUUGCAAGUUAGAGAAAUUUUCAAAGCCUUUUGAGAGUGUCAAAUUGAUUUGAAUCUAUUUGAGAGUAUUUGAAAGUAUUCUGUUAAGUUUCAGACCUUAAAUGCAUGAAAAAUUAGAUAGACACAAAAUAGGACGACCUAUUUGGGUCAUCCCCUUUCAUUGAGUAGCCGACACGCACUAUUUUAGCUUGUGGCAUGUAGUGGAAUGACCCACCUGAGAUGACCCCUG
rnacentral:lncRNA from 1 species